rnacentral:rRNA from 1 species
GACGAACGCUGGCGGCGUGCUUAACACAUGCAAGUCGAGCGGAGCGGCGAACGGGUGAGUAACGCGUGAGUAACUGCCCCCCUCUCUGGGAUAACAGUUGGAAACGGCUGCUAAUACCGGAUAGUGGGGGAUGCCUCGCGUCCUAUCAGCUUGUUGGUGGGGUAGUGGCCUACCAAGGCGACGACGGGUAGCCGGCCUGAGAGGGCGACCGGCCACAUGGGGCUAGGAUACGGCCCAAAGUGCUACGGGAGGCAGCAGGGGGGAAUAUUGCACAAUGGGGGAGAGCCUGAUGCAGCAACGCGCGUGUGGGAUGACGGGCUUCGGGUUGGAAACGGAUUUCAGCCAUGACGCGGUAGUGGCAGAAGAAGCACCGGCUAACUACGUGCCAGCAGCCGCGGUAAUAC